AUAACCUGCCUCAUACAGGGGGAUAACAGUUAGAAAUGACUGCUAAUACCGCAUAAGCGCACAGAGAUGCAUGUCUCGGUGUGAAAAGCUGAGGCGGUAUGAGAUGGAUCCGCGUCUGAUUAGCUAGUUGGCGGGGUAGAGGCCCACCAAGGCGACGAUCAGUAGCCGACCUGAGAGGGUGGCCGGCCACAUUGGGACUGAGACACGGCCCAAACUCCUACGGGAGGCAGCAG
rnacentral:rRNA from 1 species